rnacentral:rRNA from 1 species
UACGUAGGGAGCAAGCGUUGUCCGGAAUCAUUGGGCGUAAAGCGCGCGUAGGCGGCCUCAUAAGUCCGUUGUGAAAGUCAAAGGCUCAACCUUUGAAAGCCGAUGGAUACUGUGAGGCUAGAGUUCGGAAGAGGCGAGUGGAAUUCCUGGUGUAGCGGUGGAAUGCGCAGAUAUCGGGAAGAACACCCGUGGCGAAGGCGGCUCUCUGGGACGGUACUGACGCUGAGACGCGAAAGCGUGGGGAGCGAACAGG